UACGUAGGGUGCAAGCGUUGUCCGGAAUUAUUGGGCGUAAAGAGCUCGUAGGCGGUUUGUCGCGUCGAAUGUGAAAACCCGGGGCUCAACCCCGGGCCUGCAUUCGAUACGGGCAGACUAGAGUUCGGUAGGGGAGUCUGGAAUUCCUGGUGUAGCGGUGAAAUGCGCAGAUAUCAGGAGGAACACCGGUGGCGAAGGCGGGUCUCUGGGAAGUAACUGACGCUGAGAAGCGAAAGCAUGGGUAGCAAACAGG
rnacentral:rRNA from 1 species